rnacentral:lncRNA from 1 species
CUUGACUACUUUCUUACGUGACAUUUCUGAUCAUAGACAUGGAUUCCUUGGUUAGUUUGAUGUUGGAGCUGCCAAUGGUGUUGAUGCUGUGUUCAUGGUGUGAGCAUUGGUUUUGCAGUUAUUUUCCAGUUGUGAUGUCCUGAAAUGAAGCUUGUGCAGACAUUCAGUUCAACAUCAUACUCAAAUAUGUUAUUUGCCCAUGUUGGUGUCCUUGCAUUGUUGAGCUGUUGUGCAAAAUAGUCGAUGUUGCUAGGUGGCUGUCGGGUAUGUUUCAUCGGCUGCCUUUUGUCGAUGUGUCGUCUCGUCUCUUGCCAAGCCACCUGUACACACGUUAAGUUGCUUAAUACUAGACCGAAGUGCUAAUUACUACACCACCGA